rnacentral:misc_RNA from 1 species
UCCGGUUUGUCACCGGCAGUCUCAUUAGAGUGCCCUUUCGUAGCAACUAAUGGCAAGGGUUGCGCUCGUUGCGGGACUUAACCCAACAUCUCACGACACGAGCUGACGACAGCCAUGCAGCACCUGUGUCCAGGUUCCCUUUCGGGCACCGCUGCAUUUCUGCAGCGUUCCUGGCAUGUCAAGGGUAGGUAAGGUUCUUCGCGUUGCAUCGAAUUAAUCCACAUAAUCCACCGCUUGUGCGGGUCCCCGUCAAUUCCUUUGAGUUUUAAUCUUGCGGCCGUACUCCCCAGGCGGUCGACUUCACGCGUUAGCUUCGUUACUGAGGGACAGACUCCCCCAACAACUAGUCGACAUAGUUUAGGGCGUGGACUAC